rnacentral:lncRNA from 1 species
AACUCACCAAAACCGUAGAGUUUUCUUCCCUUGGCUUACAAGUUCCAUUGUUUAUCAGAGCAAGAAAAAAAAGGGAAAAUGGAAGGGAAAGAAGAAGAUGUUAGACUGGGAGCUAACAAGUUCUCAGAAAGGCAACCUAUUGGGACAGCAGCUCAGUCCCAAGAUGAUAAGGAUUACACUGAGCCACCCCCAGCACCCUUCUUUGAGCCUAGUGAGUUGACUUCAUGGUCGUUUUACCGAGCUGGAAUCGCUGAGUUCGUUGCUACUUUCCUAUUCUUGUACAUCUCGGUGUUGACCGUGAUGGGAGUUGUUAAGGACAAAACCAAGUGUACAACUGUUGGGAUUCAAGGGAUUGCUUGGGCUUUUGGUGGUAUGAUCUUUGCCCUUGUUUACUGCACUGCUGGUAUCUCAGGUAAACUAUAUGAUCUUCUUUAUCCCUUGUUUGUUUCUCAGGAAAAUGAUAGAAAAGUUUAGUAUAUAUUGAUGAGUUAUGGUGAUGUUAUAGGUGGUCAUAUCAAUCCGGCGGUGACAUUUGGGCUGUUCUUGGCAAGGAAAUUGUCGUUGACAAGGGCAAUAUUCUACAUGGUGAUGCAGUGCUUGGGAGCUAUAUGUGGGGCUGGUGUGGUUAAAGGGUUCAUGGGGAAGACAAGGUAUGGUGCUUUGGGUGGUGGAGCUAACUCUGUGAAUCAUGGCUACACCAAGGGAGAUGGGCUUGGUGCUGAAAUUGUUGGUACCUUUGUUCUUGUUUACACUGUGUUCUCAGCCACUGAUGCCAAGCGCAGUGCCAGAGACUCUCACGUCCCUGUAAGUUUCAUCAAAUGAAUGAUUGAAUUGUUUAAACCAUUAAAAACCCAGAUUUUUAACCAUGACCAUGUGUUUGGUAGAUUUUGGCACCAUUGCCAAUUGGGUUCGCAGUGUUCUUGGUACACUUAGCCACCAUCCCAAUCACAGGAACUGGUAUUAACCCAGCUCGUAGCCUUGGUGCGGCCAUCAUUUUCAACAAGGACAAGGGAUGGGAUGACCAUGUAAGUCAAUUGUUUCACCAUUUUUCACUAUUAUUAUUUUUAAUCAUGAAUAAUAUACUUAUCUACUUUGGGUCUGGUUUGAUUGCAGUGGAUUUUCUGGGUGGGUCCAUUCAUUGGUGCAGCACUAGCAGCACUUUACCACGUUGUUGUGAUCAGAGCCAUUCCUUUCAAAUCAAAAUGAUCACAUUAUCAAUGGUCAUGAUCAUAUGAUUUCAAGAAAGUGAAAGUUCCACUCAUGCACCCUUUCAGUUUGUUUUUCCAUUUUUCUUUUGUUUGCAUGCCUUUUGUAUUUGGAUGUAAGAAUCUGUAAUAUAUUGCUCCAAUUUAAGUAAAGUCCAAUAUAAAUUUGCUCUCUUUCAAAGAAUUUGAAGGAUAGUUUAAGGCAACCAUGAGAAGUCAAACAACAAAUGGAACAACUUUGAGGUUGAACUUCAAUGGUUGACCCACAAUUUUCUUUUUUGAAGUUUAAACUUGUUACAUAUCCCAUGCAAGGACUCCCUUCGCCACGGCUAACACCCUCACCAAAAGCAUGCACGACAUUGAACUUUGAUAGACCACCACCUUCAGUACCUAACCUAAUUCACCAAGGAAUCCAUCCUUCUCUAGAAGAACUAUUCCUCCAUGAGUACGCAAGUUAGCUACCAUAACAACCUAACCACUCUGACAAGACACUUAUCAUUGGUCACCCACAUACCUUAUAUCUUAGUAAUAGCACGUCAUGUUGUUGACAUAGCUAGGAAUAAUUGAAUAUCGAGUUGGCCAAUCAGAAUGCACCACGUGUAAGGGGCUAACCUAUUCAUGUACUCCUUUUACUCCUCAACAAGGGGACCUCUUGUAUUGUGGUUCAAGCUUUCACACACCUCUCUCUUCUCCUUCUACAAACUAGAGGUUCCAACUUUCUUUUUCCUUUUUUAGAUUGGCACCUUCUUCCUCCUACACUCCCAUUUUCGAUAGGGGCAAUGGACAUAUUUGACUAACAUAUCUACAAGUUAUUUUUCUACCUUGGAAAAAUCUUUCCAACAACAUCAAUGCCCCUAUGCAUCCAACUUUCUCCACAUGAUUAAAACUUUCGCUUGUUUGAAGGCCCGCACAUAAGUCAACUCUUCAAAACUUGUUAGAACUCUUCUCUUCAAAACAAUAGCACCAAAUUAAUUUAUAUAUGAAGGGCAAUUGUCCUUUUAACCUUUAAUAAAAAAACUUUUUUUAAGGCGUAGGUAUCAUUGACAAGCAUUUUUCGAGAGUGGAGUAGGGUUCGUUGUACACAUAUCGCUUGAUGGUAACAUCCACCUUUUAAGGAAAUGAAAGUUCCUAAUAAAGUAGUGGUGGACUAACAAAUACGGAAAGGGAUUGUAUAAAACUGUGAUUCCACGUCAUCCCUAUCCCUUUCCUAGGAGAAUGACAAAUCAGAUUUUUCCUUUUGAAAAAAUUCAAAUUCAACUAAAAAUGCUAAAAAUUAGGAGGAAAAAUCUAAUUUGUCAUUCUUCUAUUGGAAAGGGAUAGGGAUCACGUGGAAUCACAGUUUCAUACAAUCUUUUUCUCAUAAUAUACUUUUCCUUCAUUAGAUGCAUGUUGCUCUUAGUGUUAUCCAACAUGACCUGGCAACCCUUGUGUGCCAUGAAGAAUACAAACCCUAUCUAAUACAUUCCAUUAAUGGGAGACACAAUAUAAAUCUUCCAGAACACUCCCACCAAAAGUUAUUCACCUCACCAUUAACAAUAAAGGAAAUAUGUUAUAAGAUCCUACCACAAGGUCCCCACUAACUACCUCAUGCAAUUCCAUAAGAGCUCAAAACCUUCACAAAAAGGGAAUGGAAGGAAGAUGGAAUCCAGCCUCAAUCAUGUAUAAUGGUAUAAAAAGGCUAGCUUACCUUUACCCUUUACGAACACCAUACUCAAAGUUUUCUCCUUGGUUGGAAUAAAAAAUUCGUAUUGGUAUUUGUCCAAUUGCAAACCAGAACAUUUUAAUAACACCCUCAUCUCCUCCAUUGUGUGCACUCAAAAUUGUCAGUACUGACAAAUAUGUCAAUUGACCUCUUCUUCCUAUUACCUUUCUUCUUAACAAUAUGCUUAUACCUAUUAUUGCUGACCAUUCUAUGAAGAAAAGAAUCUCAAAAACUCCCAACAUGAAAACGAAGAAAGAAAGUAGAGAAUCAAAGAAGGAAAGUGGAAAAUAAACUCGCAUCAAAGAACCAAUAAGGUAAAAUUGCUACCUUAUUUCCAAAAGAACCUAACUAACCUUCAUUUGUCACAUACAUAAAUUUCAUGCACAUUUCUCAAAAAACUAUUGCUAAACACAUCAAUUGUGCACAUAUUUCUCAAGAAACCAUUGCAAUACCAAAACAAGCAUUGCCUUGUGUCCUACAUUUCAUCAUCAUCCUAAAAAUUCACACGACUCAAGCAAUGUCUUAAAUAGUGCUUCCCUAGAUCAUGCUUAAUCAUCAAGUUAGCACUUAAGUCAUCUGUUACAAAGUUUGAAAUCUAAAAUUUUGAAAAUUAUGAAUAUUUGUACCUUAUAUUGAUGAAAAUGUCCAAAAAAAAUGGGUAAGUAAUAUUUGCGUUACAGGAAUUCAUGUAUCAAGGAAUGCCAUUUUGCAACAUUUUUUUCGACUAGGGACAAUUGUUACAUAUACCUUGUUAAGGCCUCCUUCUCCACGACUGACUCCCUUGCCAAAAGGAUGAAUAGCACUGAACUCCAUUAGACCACCACCUCCGUUGCCUGACCUAGUUCGCCAUGUCCUCAUCCUUCGCCAAUAGAACUAUUCCACAAGGUUGUUAGGAGUACAUAAGUUAGCUACCCCUGAUAGCCUAACUACUCUCACAACCCACCUAUCACUUAUCAUCCACACACCUUGCAACUUAAAAACAUCAGAUCAUCUUGUUAACCUAACAAGGAACCAUUGAAUGGCAAGCCGACCAAUUAGAACACGCCACAUGGUAAGAGGGCCAACCUAUUCAUAUACUCCUCUUACUCCUCGAUGAUGGGGAACCUCUUUCUCAUUUUUGGUUCAAGCUCCCAGCUUAUCUCUCCUCCUCUUCUCCAAGCCUUCCUUUCAUCAGUUCUUCCUUCCUCUAUACCCAGCUUCACCAUCUUUCUUUGCAACUCUCCGCCUAUAGGGUGAAUCACUACAUCUACCUCUACCAUAUUUUCUCUUUCAACAAAACUCAUGUCGAAGAACCAUGCAAUAUGGCUCCGCCUAUUAUUGUGUUGGAACCAUAGUAUCAAAUUGCAAUUAUGAUGUCACAAUUGUAGACAUUACAUUAACACAUAAUAAUUAAUGCGAACAUGAUUCUUUUUUUUUUCAAAAAUCAUAUUUUCUUUUAAGACAAUAUAGUUAUACAUUUGAAAUUUAGUCCCUCCACUUUUCAAAUUAUAAAAUGCAACUCUAAUUGUUAACAUCGUUAAAAAUUCUUAUGUUAAAUUUAGAUUCUUUACAAUAUCAUUUUUUUGUUACAUGACUACCAAAUGAAUAUUUUGUUUAUCCUAAAAUGUCAAACCAGUGAAUUUAACUUAAAAUUUUUAAUCGUGCAAAAAAUAGACUUAAAUAAUGAUUGAAUUGCUCGAAAUAAAAGUAGAGAGACUACAUUUCAAUUCCAGAAAAAAUACAAGGACUUGAAGCAUAUGUUUAACUUUUAAAAAAAUCUUAGUAAUUUUUAUGUUUUUCUGAAACUUUGGAAAAUUUUGUUUAUUUUAAAAUUUUUUAUGAUUUUUAUUUUCUAUAAUUUUAAGAAAUUUUGAAUAUAUUUAUGAUUUAUAGUUUUUAAAUUUUUUUAAUAUACCAUGUUCUUUUUAUUAAAAAAGUUUCAUAUAUUAGAAUUUGAUUAAUUCAAAUACAUGUAUUCAAACAUAUGGAUUGAAUUUGAAAGUUAUGAUAUUAAUUUUCUUACAUAUUUUCAAAAUUCAAAUAUAUAUAUAUUCAAACAUAUGAAUUGAUUUUCAAAAACUAUGAUUUAUGAUAUUAAUUUUGUUAGGCAUUUUCAAAACUAAAGUGUUCAAACCAACAAGUGUUGGUUGUAAUGGUAAGGGAUAUUGCUCUUUUAAGUAGAGAAAUACAGAUUCAAACUUUGAAAAUAAUAUUGUUGAAAAAGGCAAUCACGAAUAAAGGCUAAAAUGUAAUUUUACUAUUUUAAUAGUUCAUAUCUUUUCAAUUUAAAAAGGACUAAAUUAAAAUUUAUCUUUUUUGGGGGGCAAAGUGUAAUUUUACUAUUUAUCAACUUAAAAUUAUAUAAAAUUUAAAAAUUAAAAAUUAAAUUUUAUAUUUUAGGAGGGUCGGGGCCCUUCCAGCCCCUCUCUCUACCAUGAUCAUGAACCUUAAAUAUAAGUUGUAAGACGAAUAUAACUUUUCUCUUUUCACUCUUGAUUACAGAACUUGAAUAUAAACUAUAAAAUGAGAAUAAUGAUGCGUCUAAUCUAAAGGUUUUGCCAGCUUUUAUAUAUAUAUAUAUAUAAUGAUUAAAGCUGAAAGAUUCUGAAUUUGAUUAAUCUGUUACAUUAGUCAUUAGAUGACAAAAAUUAUUUAAACAAACAAGAUUAGGUUAAGGAAAUUAAUUAUAAAUAAAUUCCCAAUUACUCCAUCAUUAUCUUCCAAAAACAAUGUAGCCUGGAUUACAGAUUCUCACUUUUCUGCAUUUUUCCUUUUCCAAUUUUAGGUGAAAAUCAUUGGCUCAUAUAAAGCCAAGAUUUUCCCUAUAAUCUCAAUAUUUGGAUUUUUUAAAGAAAGUGUUAGUCUUGGGUAAGGUAUAAUAUUAAUAAAAAAUCUCUAAAAAAUAUAUUAUUAAUAAAAUAAAGAUUAAUAUUUGAUACACUCAAUUCACAAAUAGAUUUAAAAAAUUGUCAUGUAUCUUAUUUAUUUUAUAUGUAUUUUUAAUAUUUUACUCUAAUUUAUAAUACAGUUAUUAUCAUCUCGACUUUUCAUUUGGAGUCUAAAAACUCCACUCACAAUUUAUCAAAUAUUUUCUUAAUAAAAUAAAACCAAUUUAUAUUAAAUUAAAUCAAUGAAAUCUUCUCACUGUUGGAAAAGCUGAGGCCCUAUCACCUAUAACUGUGCAUGUGUAAGUCUCCUAUCCCAUCAGUGAGUUUUAGUUUGAAUGUUCUUCGUGUGUUUGUGUGUAGUAAACUUAUAAUGAUUUGAUUCUAUUUUGUAGUUUUGUUUGAAUCCGAUCUGUUUAAAAAGUGGUUUUGAAUUGCUUAAAUUGAAAAUUAGUAUAAAUCGAUUGAACCGAUAGUUGAAUCGGGUGAAUAAUAUUUUUUAAAAAAAUUUUAAAUUUUUUUUAAUUAAACCAGUGAAACCAAUUAAAUCGAUGAAUUGAUAAUCAAAUCAAUUCAACCAUCAAUCCAAUUUAAAAAUUACUCCAACAUUUACUUACUCAGUUCUUGUAAUUAUUAUUAUAUUUUACUUAUAUUAUAUUUUUACUUAAAAAAUUCUUUCUUCCAAAAAAUUUAUAUCGAAUUAAACCUUGGAAUUCUGUUAUUCAAUUUUUGACUAAGCUUUCGCCAUUUUUGAAACACAAACAUUAAUCCAAUCAUUUACACUCCCUUCGUUCUGGCAAUGGGGCGGUGGCUGGGAUCAUCGUCAGCUUAAAAAUUUGUGGCCAAAAUUAAGCCAACUAAGGUCUCCCAGCAGCCACCCCACCAUUGUCCUUCACUAAUAAUAAUUAUUCCAAUUGUGUUUAUUUCAUGUCAUUUUCCCAAAAACGAUUGGUCGGUCAUAAUUCAUUAUAUUUAAAUAUAAAUAUUGAAUUCUAACAAAUAAUUUAUUCAUUUAUACUCAUCCAAACAUAGUAUAUAAAACACAUACCCCAUUAACUCAUAAAAGCCAUAGAGAAUUUAGUUUCUUUAGCUCACAGGUUCCAUUGUUUUUCAGUAGUAAAGAGCAAAAAACAGAAGGGAAAUCAAUGGAAGGGAAAGAAGAAGAUGUUAGAUUGGGAGCUAACAAGUUCUCAGAGAGGCAGCCUAUUGGGACAGCAGCUCAGUCCCAAGAUGAUAAAGAUUACACUGAGCCACCACCAGCACCCU